CAUAUUUAAUUUUUUUUCCUCUUUUUUUUUCUUGGGUGGGUGGGGGGAGCUUGGAGCUGUCUUAAUCUGUAUUCUCUUGACUGAACAAUAAAUUUUUAAAUAUAUAUAGUUUCCUCUAUUAAACACUUAAACCUGGCCAUCUUAUUAACUCCUUCUGCUCUUUUUUUUUUUUAACAAGGUAAUGUUUUAAAUGUAUAGUUCUAGGACUAGCGAAAUGGCAGCAACAAAAAAUUGUAAGCAGUCGUUACUCUUUUUAAGUUUUUAAAAACCUUUUAUAUUGUAAGUACCCAAUCCAUUCUGUCCUUACGCAGUGCAGUUUCUAUGUUAAUGUUGCUGAGAUGUCCUUAAUUUUCUGAACCUUCAUCUGCAUGUAUGUCUUUGUUGCUCUUGUCUAAUAUAAGCCAGUUAAAAUGCUUUUAGACGACUUUGCUUUUUAUAAAGCUAAGGUUUUAGCUUUAUGCUUUUGAAAAUGUUUACAGCCAUAAAUGCUAGUCAGCUUUCUUCCCAGUAACGUACACUUUCUUUGAAAAUCGAUCUAUUUGAAGAAAAACACUUCUGUUUUUCUCGUCUUGGUAGGGGAGUGGGUGAGGGAAAGGAAGACCUUCUCUUUGUGUACAGAGACUAAAGCCGUCACAGGAAACUAGAUUAAAACUGGAAAACAAGUCCUAGCUGGUUCGAGCCAAACACCAACGUUAACUCGCGGGUAUUUUCUAUGGUGGUUGGGAUGGCCGUGCGUCUUUUGCCUUUUGUUUGAUUUGACCGUGUUUUCGCCUUUUGUCUCUUAAUGACGAUCACACCAUUGCUAUAUCCAGAGCAGUAAACAGUCCUCAGCGAAGCCGCCUUUUGCCAACCCAACCCUGGAAAGUUUGCAGAAGUGGAAGGAGCAGAAAAUGCCAUGAGAGUGUAACUUACAAAAAGGUAACAACAACAGGAAAGACACCACCAUUCCCCCAAUACUCCUAACUAAACAAUCCCCCCAAAAGAUAUUUUUUACAUAACACGUCCAAAACCUCCGCCCAACUUGAUCUUCCAGACUCCAUGGCACCGGGCUGAGCGGGCUCUUGGCUGGAGAAAGGGCGACCACCCGGUACCCCCAGAGUGAACCAUCCUCCUUCGGACAGCGGGAGCAGGCCUAACUUCACUCUGAUAAUAAGGUAGGUGUGAGUCCUUUGCCAGCCUGCGAGGGAGAUUUGGGGGGCUUGGGCCUGGGGCCCAGGGAGGGCGGGCACCCCAAACCCGCUAGGCUGGUUCUGCAGCCCCUCCCCCACACAGAUGUGUGGGACUGUGUGUGUGAAAUCGGCUCCCUGCUGGGCCUGCUGGGUCCAUCCAUCCCCGCCUGUCAGCUUCUGUUGUCAAGAGUUUGGGGCGUGCAAUUCUAUGCAGUGUUGAGACGCAUAGAAGGUUGCACUUGCAAGUAUUUCCCAGUUCUGUGUUUUGCGGUGGUGGUGGGGAGGGCCCUGGGUGCCUCUUCAGAAAGGUACCAUCUGCUGCCAGGAAGCCGGGCCCUGCUCUGGCCCUCCCUUCCGGCCCUGAGUGGGGACAUGUGGGUGACUAUGAACUGGUAUCUUCCCUCUGAUGUCUAGCUGCCAGGGAGGUGGAGAACGCUACCAGAGAGCUGGGCCAGCUUCCUCUGAGAAAGAGGUUUUUUGACCCUUCUCCCCAUUCCUGGGAAUUCCACCAUUCUCUGCAAACCCCCCCCCCAAAAAAAUCCUGUUUCUACAAUCAGACAGACUGGGAUUUGAAACCUGGCUAGCUAUUUACGUGCUGUGACUUUGCUUGAGCAGGCUUAGUCUCAGAGCCCCGUUGCCCCUGUGCAAAAAUGGGCCUGGGUCAGUGAUUCCCUGUCUUGAGCAUGCUCUUUAGGACCGGCUCCAGGGCCCAGUUUUUGAUUCAGUAGAUGGGGACGGAGAACUUGGAUUUCUAACUAGUUCCCAGGUGAUGCUGAUGGCUGCAAUCCGAGGACGCAUUUUGAGAACCUUUGGGCUGGCUAACACCUGGAGGUUUUGUGAGGGGGACAGGAGCAAGUGCACUUGAAACCCCAAGCUCAGCGCCUGAUAGAGGCGUUAGCUUCCGAGUAAUGGCAGUGCUCUCCUUACUCUCCUGACACAAGCUGACUGCUCAUAGCUUCCUCCUGUCUGGCUCCAGGAAGCUCCACAGCUGGAGGUGGUGUGGCCCUUGAUCUCUGAUCCCUCCCCCAUGUGAUCUCUAGUUAGGGAUUACUUUGAUGAACCAUUUGGGUCCAGGUGCCACUGAUCUGCACCACUACCCCAUUUGGACUGAGGUUUGGCUUCCUUGUGGGAUGAGCCCUGCCUACUUUUACCCCACCCCUCAGUGUGAGGGCUAAACUGAAGUUUGGGGGAGCCGGAAGGGCUAGACCUGCAGGUUUGGUUGAGAGCCAUCUUGACGCUUAAUCAAGGGAGGCUCUAAGUCUGGUGGCUGUGCUGGUGACCUUGGGUGAGUCUCCAGUGUGAAAUGAUAAUAAAGACGCAGGCUGGAAACGGGAGUGGGAGGAUUAAGUGUGAUUAAGGGGGCUUGGCCUCACGUUCAGGCUUCACACUAGUUGGCCUCCAUUCCCAUGUGGCUGCAGGGAGUGGGGGUUGGGCUGUCUGUGAGCUCCUCCCCCACCAACCCACCCCGGAGGCACGUGGCAAAGCUUCAGGGCAAAGGGGAAGACUGACUUUCCGUAGGCAGGGAGCCAGCCCCAAUUUUCUUCCUGUGUGGUUUGAGUCGGAAUGGUGGCCUGCCCCCAGCUGUUCCAUGAGUGGGUCAUGAUCUGGGGUCCCAGAGAGUAGAAGUGACUCACCCAAGGUCACGAGGCCACCACUGGCAGCCAGGAUGGGUUCCAGGUGUCUUGACUUGCAGCCCAUCGCCUGUGUCCAUGGCACCCCCCACCCCAGCUGUCUGGGUUAUUUUGGGCUUCCUCCCGUGCCAGGCAUCACUGCCAGGAAGCUGGGAAAGCUGUCUGGUUGAAAGUAACCAGCGUGGUGCUCUUGGCUCCUUUUGGCCCCCUUCCCUUGGCCCCACGAGGGUCUACAGCCCCAAUAAGCUGGGUUUGGUCCAUCUUUUGCUGGUGGGGGAAGGAGGUUCCCUCUGCUGCACCUGGCACCAGACCCUCUUCCCUCUGGGGGCGGGGGGGGGACGCUUUGUAAAAGUUGAUGAGGUUCAUGUUCUUCAUAUCCCGUGCGCGUCUUCCUUCCACUCUGGCCCAGAAUCAAGAUUUCAAGUUCGGUGCUGCUAUUGAAUUGCUCUUUCAACUCCCUUGAUCCUCCGGUGACUGACUUGCUGCCUGAGGGUGUCUGCCAUCCCUUUAGAUAGACUCCUUAGGGCUCCCGGAGACAGGGGUCUUUAUGUCCCACAGGCAUCGGAUGGUUAAGUAAUUGAUUUAAACCCCCCCUCCCCCCCCAGCCACUGCCUGGAGGGCUAGAGCCAGGUCCUCCACUCGCGCCCUCGGAACAAUUAGGGAGCAAUUAGGUGCGAACCUGUGGUCUGGAUGUGAUUUUUGGGAGGGAGAGGUGUCCCGAUGACCUGUAAGGGUCAUACCCCCUCCCCACUUCCCUCUCUUCUUUACCUCUUUCACCUUUCUUUGUCCCCCCACCGCACCCCCAUCGCCCCCCCCCCGGGGGGGCAGGGAGGGGCGCAGCAGCUUGUCUGUCCUCCGGCUGUGGUUCCUCCUGGCUCAGAGGUUGGCCCCGCCCCCCGGUCGCCCCGUGAGCUCAGGGCGGGGCUGCUCCUGGCGCCAAUCCGGUGGGGCCAGCCUGGAGAGGGCCACGCCAGCGGAAGGGCGGCCCAAGGCUGGGAGGUGGCUGGACCUGCCUAGCUACUGGACACCAGGGUCCCGCCUCUUCCGGCUCAUCCACCGGGAGCCCCAGCCUGGAAUACGACCUUUUGGACCCUCUGGGUGGAGACUGCCUCUGCCUGGACUGUGGCAGGAGGCACCCCGCCAUCUUGGAGGCCGCCUGGGUCCAGCGCUGUCUCCAGCUGGCCAUGACCUCAGCAAGUCCCCGCCCCUCUGGGAGCUGAGGUCUCCGCAUGUGAACCAGGAGGAAGAAGGUGGAGGAUGACCUUUUGAGCCGUGUCUGAGUCUGGCUUUGUGAGGGGAGCUUUUUGUGUUUCAGCAUGACCUCCCCACCAGCACCACCAGGUACUGAGCCCUGGAGAGAGUCCUUGACUCCCCGGCCAACCCCGGCCACCUCCCAUCUCUGGUACCUCAAAGAAUAUCUCAGUGUCUUCUGUCUCAUCUGGGGUGGAUGACCGGUCCCUCAGGUGUGAGGUGACCGCUUAGGAUGUUCUCAUGUACCAGGGAAGUGUAAGCUGGAAGAAUUGUCGUUAACUUCCUUACCUAUGCUGGGCAGACCUUGCUCUGACAAGACAGAAGUGGAUCUGGCCCUUAGUUCUCUCCUGGUCUCAGUUGGCCUUACUAUAGCACUGGCCGAAUGAAUUCCCCCCACAAAUGCCACCUGGCCUCCCCGAGGCUUCUGUGUCCAACAGCUCUAUGUUAAGAUCCAAUUUAAAGAAUCUUUCUUGCUUUCCUAAACCACUCCAGGAAUUCCUGGUGAAUAGAGGGUGAAUGACUUGCGUCCUCAGAACAUCUGACAGGUAAGGGAGCACGUUCUCCCCAGGCGUGUGGGCAGACCCAGCUCCUCAGCUGGCCUGCCCUGGCCCAGCUGCCUCUGAGGAAGCUCUCAGCAGCUGGCCUGGCUCCUGGGUAUUUUUAGGUACAGAUCCAGCCUCUUCACCACUGGAGCUGAGUCCAAAUCAAACACACUCCAGGCCGGGUCAGGCUGGGGUUCUGCCAGCCUCUUGGUCAGGCGUGGGUGGGUGGGCAGGCCGGCUGGGGCCAGUGUCAGCUGUUCUGCCCGGAUGCAGGCAGGGCUGGGAAGCCUCUCCUUUCUUCCCCUCCCCCGCCUCAGUUUUGUGGAAGCCAUUUGUUCUGUCUUAAGUUGGGGUCAGAGUCCUGUUUCUCAGGUGGAGAAAAUGGAAACUUGAGGUCCAGGAUUUUGAGGAAAGUCAGGAGAUGUGGUGAACCCCAAGGUGACAGUUUGCUAAGAGUGCGGUGAUGCUCCUAACUGAAUUCUCCCCCCGGCCCCCCCUCCCCUUUCCUUCCCCCUCCCCCCCCCCCCCCCGAGCUUUAGGGGUCCCUGAUUCAGGGUCGGGCCUGGGGCUGGCUGUGAAGGUAAGCAGGCGGCCCCUCACUCAGAGGCCUGUCCGUCCUGCCUCUCCUGCCAGCCUCAGGCCGCCACUGUGGAAACCUGACCCCAGCCCUGCCUCACCAGCCAGUCAGUUCCUCUUGGGUCACCAGAGAGAGAGCUUGAGGGCCCGGCUUUGGCUGGGCGCUUCUUUUCAGGAGCUUUCUGUCCAGACACCCCUCUUGAGCCUGGCAGCAAGGCCGCCCUCCCUGAUCUAACCCCAGUUACCUUGACAACCAUCUUUGGUCUUCGCCGCCCAGGCGCUGUGGAACCUGAUGGGGUUUUCCUGCCACCAUGCCUUUGCCCAGGGUGCCCAUCCUGCUUCCCCUGGUCUGCCCUCCCAGCACUGCCUGGCUGAGGCUCAACCUUCCCUGGACCCUACAGAGGUUCUUGUCUCUAACUGUUCACAUCUCCCAGACUCCUUCAGACUGCUUCCCCAAGACAGCGCCUUGCAGGCAGGAGCACAGUUGCCUCUCAAUAAACUUGUGUUGCAAAAAAGGAA